rnacentral:lncRNA from 1 species
GCUUGUGGGCACCCAUGGAAUCUGCUGGGUGGGCACCUGCUUAGUGGCUCCAGAACUCCUGGGCAUUUGGGAGCCUGGGAUAGCCUGGAGUUGGGAGUGGCCUGGAGGAAGGGGCUUCAAUUUCCUGCUCUGAAAAAGGGAAGAACAGCAGACUUUGGUCUGUAAAUCUUUCUUCCAUAUGUAGUUGAAGGCGAGCAUACCUGUCUUAGGGACAGUGAAAUCCCAGAGGCUCCUGAUCAUUCCUCUCCUGACUUUGCUUUGUUUCAGAUUUUCUGUAAAUGCUGCCCACCCCCACUGCCUCUGCCUGAUGACGUCCUCUGGGUGCUUGUGUGAGAAUCAUGCAGUGACCACAUCAUCACCCACAGCUGAUGACUCAGAGUGGACCACCUAUUCAGCCCAGAGCAGGAACCCAAGCCUAUGAAGUGAAUUGUAGGAUGUGGUAUCAGCCAGUAGAGGUACUGGAGCACCAGAAACCUGAGUUCCCAGUGAUAGAACCGCCAAUGCCUCAUGGCCAUGCUGCUAAAUCCAUCAGGAUAGUUUCUUUAGCAGGCUGGAGUGCAUUGGUCCGAUCUUGGCUCACUGCAAC